UACGGGGGGGGCAAGCGUUGUUCGGAAUUACUGGGCGUAAAGGGCUCGUAGGCGGCCAACUAAGUCGGACGUGAAAUCCCCAGGCUCAACCUGGGAACUGCGUCCGAUACUGGAUGGCUUGAAUCCGGGAGAGGGAUGCAGAAUUCCAGGUGUAGCGGUGAAAUGCGUAGAUAUCAAGAGGAACACCGGUGGCGAAGGCGGCGACCUGGGUAGAUACUGACGCUGAGGUGCGAAAGCGUGGGGAGCAAACAGG
rnacentral:rRNA from 1 species